GAAUGGCUCAGGAUGAACGCUAGCUACAGGCUUAACACAUGCAAGUCGAGGGGCAUCAUGCUUAUAGCAAUAUAAGUGAUGGCGACCGGCGCACGGGUGAGUAACACGUAUCCAACCUGCCGAUAACUCGGGGAUAGCCUUUCUAAAGAAAGAUUAAUACCCGAUGGCAUAAUAGAACCGCAUGGUUUGAUUAUUAAAGAAUUUCGGUUAUCGAUGGGGAUGCGUUCCAUUAGGCAGUUGGG
rnacentral:rRNA from 1 species